rnacentral:lncRNA from 1 species
UUUAUUGGAAUUAUUAUAUUUUUUAUAAAAGUACUCAAACCUGGAUAUCAAUUUAUCGGAUCCAUUAAGGAGAGGUGACACUCUUGGAGAGUCAAGUAAUGCAAUAUAUUCUCUCUCUGCCAGAACCAAACUGUACCAGCACCAACGAACGCCUUUGUGCUAGGAAUAAAUAGGAUGAAUAAAUCUCUACCAGCACCAACAUUGACAGCUUGUUUGUUCACACGUAGCAAUGUUUUGCAUUAAACUGAACCAUGCCAAUACAUAAAACUUCAACAUGAGACUUUGUAAAAAGUUAAUCUUUGCAAUACGACAAAGGUUCACAACAUCAAAUGAUCACAGUCUAGCCAAGGUUACAUAAAAACUGAAUCUUUGCAUUAUUAGCACCACCCAACAAAGAUUUUCAUUGCUCAAGGAUCUUCCUCUGUCCGUUCAGCAUCACACUUCACCCAAUAUUUCCUGCAAAAUAUGAUGAGAAAUGGUGACAUAUGGUCUCAUAGGGCACAAUGGUUGUACAAAUUGCUCAAAGUGAAUACAUAACUGAAUCUUUGCAUUAUUAGCACCACCCAACAAAGAUUUUCAUUGCUCAAGGAUCUUCCUCUGUCCGUUCAGCAUCACACUUCACCCAAUAUUUCCUGCAAAAUAUGAUGAGAAAUGGUGACAUAUGGUCUCAUAGGGCACAAUGGUUGUACAAAUUGCUCAAAGUGAAAGAUGUGACAGCCAAUAAGACAAAUCAAAGUGUGACACGAUAAGCUUUAGCUUGCAACAAUCUUUACAAAGGGUAAAAAAAAUACCUCAACUUGAUAUAGAAGUUGCUCAAAGGUUAACUUGCACUUCAUUUGCACAAUUAUCAUGAAUCGAAAGGUAGUGGCGACAAACCAGCAACAACCGAGUAGGUUAAGUAGGACCAAAACUAAGUCGAUAAGAGACUACAUAUUAAAACAGAGGAUAUAUAUAGGAAAAUGGGUUGGUACACCUAGGAGUACAUACUCCUAUGUCAUGUGUCAUUUCUUUUUUUAUUUUCCACUGUUGUUUAUUGUGCCAUCGCAACAAACCUCCUUAGCAUUUAGUUAGUUGAUUAGGUGCUAAUCAGAAGUGGUCCCGUGGAGUUUGAAAGUUUGUUCCAUACUAAUAGGGAUAAGGCACAUUCAGAUUCAAAUCUUGUUAGCACCGCAUUAACAUGCAUCGUUCUUCUUUCAUUAAAAUCAAUCCACCUACUGAUUAGGGCUUGGAGACAAGACGCAGCCGGCAGCCGCUUGUUGACUCGACGACGAGGCACAUUAGAUGUGGUUGGCGCAACUCAAACUUGAAGAUGAGAAGAUGAGAUGCUGCCGACAAUCUAACUCGUCAAGGUGCAUCAUUUAUUCAAUAUUAUUUCUGGUCUACGAACUUCAGAUUGAGCUGCAAAAGCAUGCAUCAACCACUCUUUCCGUGACUAAUUCAUUGCUUGCUCAGGUAGGCAUCUAGUUGGCUGUACCCCUUAUCUAAGCUCUAUGCAUGCAGGUAGAAUUUCCCAAGGUGUCAUCUGGAGGCCAUGGAUAGCAUGGCGUGGAGUGCCUGCGAUUUCGAUGCGUUGGACUCCUAACAUCAUGCUGCCCACCGUGCGUGUGCUUGCCGGCGACAAACAGAACAACAACAAGAAGAUGCUUUUGCAGUGAAGAACAAAUGAAUGUAGACUAGAUAUCCACUCCAGAAUGCAUAUGUAAUACGUGCAUGCUUAUCAUACAUUUCUCUAUGGAUGUAUCAAAUUUAGUGAAUAUACUUCAAUUUCAGCAGAGUAUAUACUUCAUUCAAGUGGAUAUACUUCAAAUCAAUUUCAGCAGAGAGUAUGCAUCAUUCGUAUGAACAACUGAAUAUACUGCUAUAUCAGCUGGGUAUAUCCUUUUUUUGGUCGAGAAGUAUAUACUCCAAUAAAAAAAAGUAUAUACUCUCCAAUUAAAAAAUUAAGUACAAACUCCUAAACCCUUGGCCACAGUACUCCAAUUAAAAUUUAAAUAUUUAGUAUAUACUCUUCUCGCUAGUACUAGAUACUCAUUGAUCGCAAUGCUAAUUGCACAAGAAAGCAACUAAAAAAUUGCACAAGAAAACCGUAUACUUUUGUUAUAAGCAGUAUAUACCGGUCUAAAAAUAUAUACAUCACAAAAUAGUAUAUAAUCCUACUUUUUUUGAAGUAUAUACUCCUAUGAAGAAACGACUGUAUAUACUUCUUUUUGUGGUAGGUUGUUCUUUGAUCGGAGAGUAGUAUAUAUGUCGCAUAUACUGCAAAAUAGUGCUUCCAGCACACAUUGAUAGGGAACAAGAAUUAGUUAUUCCUCAUGUAUGAAUGAUGCUCAAAGCAUUCAUUGUUAAUCUAGGACUCCCGACUGAUGUUCUUGAAUUACAACUCUACACAUGGCCUACAAGCAGUCACCCAGUCACUUAGCUAAUCCAAACAGAGCAAAAUUAUCCGAAGAACCUGUCUAGAUCUUAUGGAGCAAUAUAUUGCAGCAAUCAAAGGAAAUAACAACCUAGUCCAUAUGACAAUGUUGUGACAAUAUAUCCAAGCAAAUAUAUUGCAGCAACCAACUGAAGAACCACUCUGAUUGAAAGAGGCGAAGCAUACCCUGCUUGCUCCCAGACCAAGAGCCCCGGUGCCUCUUGCUCCUUAGUCCUCCGGGGGUGGAGUUGACCUACCGUGGGCUGCCCAGAUCGGGUGGCUGGAGUGAGGCGUCCUGCUGAACAGGUGGGUUCAGGUUAGGGUUAGGGUUCAAGAAGAAAAACGCAUCAGAGAGAGGGAGGGGGGAGAAGAGAGGUGGGGAAGGGAGCGAGAGGAGAAGCCUUACCGGUGGCGAGAGGGACAGGUAACCAAGACGUCGGAGUGUCCUUGCGACCUUGCCGGAGAGGGACAGUACGGGGCGGAGAUGGACCGGGACCGGGACGGGACGGGGCGGGGUGGAGGAUAGGGUGGGUGGCGGCGGGGUGGAGGAGAGGGAUCGAGAGAGACAGAGAGCUGCGUCGGGCCUCCAAAUCCAGACAAAUGAGGGCAUCUCCGGCCGUUGGCCCUCCAGGAAGGGCAAAAAAUCGCCCCUGGAGGCGCACCGGCGCUAAGCCCCG